GCACUGGGCUAUUUCCGCCAGUCCCACAGAGAAGAAAUAGAUUGACGCUGUGCAUGAUCUCCAUUCAAAUAGGGUCGACUUCUGAUGUAUCCCAGGCAGAUGCAAUAGUGUAAUGGAGCUGAAUACACCUUAUGGAACAAGCCAGCGCUGCGGUACUAAAUGCCGGCAUUUUCAUACUCUGGUACGGCCGCAGUGGGAUCAUAUUAGAGGAGGUUUCCCAAUUGCUUUAGACUCUCUUAUCUGAGAGUGUAAAAUCACCCCACCCCCACUGAAUAUACUUAACCCGCUCCCUGCGCCGCUUCUCCCCGUGUGCAGAUGAAAACAUCCGGCGUCAGGGGUGGAUGGGGACAGAGACGAGCCUCCCUAGCGUCUCAGGAGAAGUGGCACAAAUAAUUUCACUGUGAGGGACCUGGGCAUAUUGGGGGGGAAAUUUUCAUACUCUUGGAUAAUCCCUUUAAGGAGGAUGUGGUGUGCCAGACAUCUCGCAGGUUACCCUAGGCCAGUGCCAUCCUGUUCACAUAGCUUAGGUGCAGCUUAUUCCCAUACAAGUGAAUGGGGCUGAGCUGUCAUACCAAGCACCGCCACUAUACAAUGUAUGGCGCUGUUAGGAGGCUGCAGUACUCUCCAGAGCACUACAGCCCCCUCAAUCAGAUAAUGAUGACCAUUAACAAUGAACACAACUUGGUUCUAAUUAAUUAGUACGAUCCCACGGGGGCUGCAGAAUGGUGAUGCUGUUUGCCUGCUGCAGAUAUUGUAAUGUGGCAUAAAUCUAGACCCCGCUGCACGAGCAAACCUUCUUCAUAUUACCGCACUGCAAACGGAUAUCAGAGAAAGCAAAUGACAUUGAUUAAAAAAAAUAAUAAUAAUCUUUUCAGGAUGUGGCUGUGAUCCAGGGUCCCGUCCAUAUUCUGUCUCCCAAAAAUGGUAAGCUGGAGAGGUUUCAUUCUUCUG